rnacentral:tRNA from 1 species
GGGCGCGUAGCUGUGCGGUAGAGCGGAUGAUUGCAGAUCAGCAGGUCCGCGGUUCAAAUCUGGGCGCGCCCU